GUCGAACGCUGGCGGCGUGCUUAACACAUGCAAGUCGAACGGAAAGGCCCUGCUUUUGUGGGGUGCUCGAGUGGCGAACGGGUGAGUAACACGUGAGUAACCUGCCCCUGACUUUGGGAUAACUUCAGGAAACUGGGGCUAAUACCGGAUAGGAGCUCCUGCUGCAUGGUGGGGGUUGGAAAGUUUCGGCGGUUGGGGAUGGACUCGCGGCUUAUCAGCUUGUUGGUGGGGUAGUGGCUUACCAAGGCUUUGACGGGUAGCCGGCCUGAGAGGGUGACCGGCCACAUUGGGACUGAGAUACGGCCCAGACUCCUACGGGAGGCAGCAGUGGGGAAUAUUGCACAAUGGGCGGAAGCCUGAUGCAGCAACGCCGCGUGCGGGAUGACGGCCUUCGGGUUGUAAACCGCUUUCGCCUGUGACGAAGCGUGAGUGACGGUAAUGGGUAAAGAAGCACCGGCUAACUACGUG
rnacentral:rRNA from 1 species